CGACAGGGAUUCUACGAAAAUUUUCCUCACCACAACUUCAGCUGACAGAACAACAUCGACGCAAACACAGAAGAUACAUCGCAGAUAACCUGGGCAAAUGAACCUGGACAUCGGGCAGGACAUUUCAUCGACACCCGGAGUCUAUACGACCUUCUUCCAAUGACAGAUGGAUUCUACGAACAUUUUUAUCACGUGAGUUAUGCCUGACAAUCAUACAGAAUGUUCAUCACUUAAUUAUGUACAAUUACUUAUUAGUCAGCCAUCAUCAGCACAGUUACAGAGACGUACGCACCUUCAGCACAACUUCAACGGACGGGACAACAUCGACGCAAACACAGAACAUACAUUUCAUCGACACAUAUGGAGUCUACGACCUUCUUCCAACGACAGAGGGAUUCUACGAACAUUUUCAUCACGUGAGUUAUCAUCAUCUGACAUCAUCAGCACAGUUGGAAAAACAUCGAUCACAGAUUACCUAGCUGGGACGAAUCAACGGAACAACAGACGAAGGACACAGCAACCGAGUGGCGGACAAGCAGCGGACAAGUGGCAAGCAUCGAGGGAUCAACAUAAUCGUGUUGUUUUGUGUGUUUUUCAUGUCCCCCAAAAUCUGGAUCACCAAGUUGCCGUCGUGUGGGGGCUUGCGUACUCCUAUGAUCAUAAGUGCGAGGUCAGCAAUGGUAUAACCAUGCUAAACCAGCCAAGGAAGAGGAGUCAGACUAAGAGUGAUCCAAACCCGGCACCCGGGGUUUUUCAGGGUUUAGUAAUUGAUAUUUGGAGCAGUUUAUUUUACGAUCAUUUGACGCUUGUUGUCAAGUUUUUAUUGUAUUAUUGUGGUCAGUUAGGAGAACUUAUAUAGGCUGUGUAGGCCAUAGGUUUUAUGUCAUGGUGAUCAAAGAGAAUAAUUUUGUACAUUGUAUUUCGCGGUCGU